AAAUAUCUCUGAAUUUAUUCUUCCAGAUUUUGAUCGCUUGAAGUCAGGUUAAAUGAAAUAGCAGACCCUGUAGAAACAUAUAACUUGGAAAAUAUUUACUUUAUAAUAGUAAAUGACAUGGUAGCACUCAGAAAGCACCUUCUCAGAGGAGCUGAGAUUCUGUGCAUGCAACAAGGAAACAACUGGACCAGAAAUACAGCUGUUAAAACUUGUCAGCCCAACAGGAAUGAUGAAUCUAUGUUGAGAAAUAAAUGGGUAUUUUAUUGGAGUAAGAGUUAACUUCCGUGGAAGGAAAAAAAAAAGGUAGAAGGAAAUAAAAAGCUCUGCCACAUACACUUUUGGAGGCUAUAACACAGGGAGGAAGAAGUCAGGCCCCCUCACUUGAAAUGAAGGGGCUGAUGUUCUGGACAGAACAAUCCAGAAGUAACUGAAGAGCAGAACACUGAAGAGGAGAGAGAAGCUCAGAGAGAGAACCCUGGAGACCUACAGAGGAUCCCUGCAAGUGUUUAGCUGAGUACUGAACUGUUACGUAAAAGGAAGUGAUCUGUAUGUAACCAGGGAAAGGGUUCUCUGAAAGGAUUAGGUGUAAUAGUGCCCUGUGCUCAUACAAGACUGAGAAUAGUGUCAGUUCCCACCAUCCACAUGGGAAAACCUCAAGGUUUAUAGGGAAGUGAGUACACAGAGUGUCUUGGGUUUUACUUAACUAAUGAAGAGGAAUUAGCGUUAGAUCGAGCUUUGCUCCAGUCCUCCUUAGCAAACCUGUCAACAAGAACCAAAAGAGAGCCAUUUCUUUCUUUUUUUAAAUUUUUUUUUAAUGUUUAUUUAUUUCUGAGACAGAGAGAGACAGAUCAUGAGUGGGGGAGGGACAGAGAGAGAGGGAGACACAGAAUCAGAAGCAGGCUCCAGGCUCUGAGCUGUCAGCACAGAGCCGGAUGCAGGGCUCAAACUCACAAACCGUGAGAUCAUGACUUGAGCUGAAGUCGGACACAUAACCGACUGAGCCACCCAGGCGCCCCAAAAGAGAGCCAUUUCUAAGUAAUGAAGCCAUUUCUUAGAUCUAAGUCUAAGAAUGUUUAUAGUAAGACAAACUUGGAUGCUAUACCUAGCAUCCAAAAAAGGUAAAAUUCACACUGUGGGGUAUCAAAUAAAAAAUUAACAGGCAUGAAGGGAGGUAGGAAAAUAAGACUCAUGAUGUAGAACAAAAUUAAUCCAAGCUGACUCAGAACUGACUUGGAUGUUAAAAUUAGCAGACAAGGACAUUAAAACAGUUAUCAUAACUGUAUUCCACAUGUUUAAAAAGUUAAGUAGAGAUAGGAAAGAUAUAAAAAAGACAAAAACCAAACUCCUAAAAAUGAAAACUAAAAUACCUGAGAUAAAAAAUACACUCAAUGAAUUUAACAACAGAUUACACACUGCAGAAGAAAAUAUCAGUGAACAGGAGAAACCAUCCAAAAUGAAGCACAGAGAGAAAAGGGAAUUUAAAAACAAAAUGAAAGAGCACUAGUGAGACGUGGGAUAACUUCAAAUGCCCCAAUAUACGUGUAAUUGGCAUUCCUGAAAGGAUUAAGGGGAGCAGAAAAUGUUUCAAGAAAUAAUGGCUGAAAAUUUUCUAAGUUUGGUAAAAACUAAAAAACCCACAGAUCCACAAAUCUCAAUGAAUCCUGUGCCUUAAAUACUUUUUCUCUGAAACAAACAAACAAAAAAAGCUAGACCAAGUUCCAUCAUUAUCAAAUUUCUCAAAACCAAUGAUACAGAGGAAACUUACAUUUUUUAAUGUUUAUUUAUUUACUUAUUUUUGAGAGAGAGUGCACAUGAGCACACAAGCAGGGGAGGGGCAGAGAGACAGGAAGACACAAUCUGAAGCAGGCUUCAGGCUCUGAGCUGUCAGCACAGACAGGGUGUGAACCCAUGAACCAUGAGAUCAUGACCUGAGCUGAAGUCAGAUAUUUCACUGACUGAGCCACUCAAGUGCCCCAUACAGAGGACACUUAAAAACAGCCACAGUAAACAGACAUGCUAUACACAAAGAAACAAAUAUCGGGAUGACAGUAGAUUUACUAUCAAAAGCAAUGUUCUUUGUUAAUUACCAAUAUAAUAAUUAUCAAUUAGCAAUACUGAUAAUUAUCUUUUAAGUCAAUAAGGUAACUAUUAGAGAUUUUGGAGUUAAAAAAGAACAAAGCAAAUAAGUAAGGCAUUUAUUAACUCCAGUGAAAACAGAAAGUUACAGAAGAAAUGAUUAUUAUGAUCAUAAUAUACAGCAUUGCUCAGUUGUAAAUAAGAUUUAAAGUGAUAAUAUGAACACUGAUUAUUAUAUACCACAUUUUUUAUAUGUGGUAUUAUAUACCACAGUUUUUAAAAAUGUGGUAUAAUUUAUUGGGAGGACAUGAUUAUGCAUGUGCAUUAUAAGAAAGCAAAGCCCUUGCAUUUUAUAUGGGUAUAAUUAAUGACAUUUAAUAGUGAUAAAAUGAGUGAGCUUAUGACACAUUACUCAGAUAUUUCAGAAAAGACCGCUCAGAUGGAUGAAAAUGGUUGCUUUUGUGUCAGUGCUGGCUUCCCAUGAAGCCAUGUGAUUCCCAUGUGACUAUACAGGACCCCAGACUCUGAGGGGUCCUAUGCUUGAUUUAAUGCUCUGCUGUUGCAGUCUUGAAGUCUUUAAUAAUUUUAUCUUUGAACUUACGUCUUGUGAGUAAGGUCCAAUGGGACUGUAGAGCAUAUAUGGAAGCAGUAGAUACAUACAAUGUGUGUCCCCACUGUUCCUUGUUCGCUCAUGUGUAUAUAACAUUUGAGAUACCUCAUUAGCUCAGACUUCUGGUGGACCCAUAACUGGUGGUAGCUCAGCAAGUCAAAUGGUGGAAAGUAUGCAUGUUAUACUCUAUAACUGAGUUAGUGGUAGUGGAACUUCCCUGAAUUAGCCAACCACUUACACUGAAAAUGAUAACAUAGAAGGAAAGGGAAGGAUGAGCCAGAAGUAGAGGGUGUUAAUAAAAUGUGUAUGCAUGUAGAAGUAAAAUAAAAACA